rnacentral:misc_RNA from 1 species
UUUCCGUAGGUGAACCUGCGGAAGGAUCAUUACUGAAGUGAGUCUUCAUCAUUGAAGCUUCUUCCCCUUGUGCUGGCUUUGACCGUAUGUAAUGUUGGGGAUUAAACAUGGUUGGAAUUUUUUUUAGCCGUCCCCAACAAUUUAUCUUAUCCUUUAUUAAAUUGAACUAAACUCAUUUUGAGAUUACAUAAAAAAUAAUCUUUUAAUACAACUUUCAACAACGGAUCUCUUGGUUCUC